rnacentral:rRNA from 1 species
UGCUUAACACAUGCAAGUCGAACGGAAAGGCCCUGCUUUUGUGGGGUGCUCGAGUGGCGAACGGGUGAGUAACACGUGAGUAACCUGCCCUUGACUUUGGGAUAACUUCAGGAAACUGGGGCUAAUACCGGAUAGGAGCUCCUGCUGCAUGGUGGGGGUUGGAAAGUUUCGGCGGUUGGGGAUGGACUCGCGGCUUAUCAGCUUGUUGGUGGGGUAGUGGCUUACCAAGGCUUUGACGGGUAGCCGGCCUGAGAGGGUGACCGGCCACAUUGGGACUGAGAUACGGCCCAGACUCCUACGGGAGGCAGCAGUGGGGAAUAUUGCACAAUGGGCGGAAGCCUGAUGCAGCAACGCCGCGUGCGGGAUGACGGCCUUCGGGUUGUAAACCGCUUUCGCCUGUGACGAAGCGUGAGUGACGGUAAUGGGUAAAGAAGCACCGGCUAACUACGUGCCAGCAGCCGCGGUGAUACGUAGGGUGCGAGCGUUGUCCGGAUUUAUUGGGCGUAAAGGGCUCGUAGGUGGUUGAUCGCGUCGGAAGUGUAAUCUUGGGGCUUAACCCUGAGCGUGCUUUCGAUACGGGUUGACUUGAGGAAGGUAGGGGAGAAUGGAAUUCCUGGUGGAGCGGUGGAAUGCGCAGAUAUCAGGAGGAACACCAGUGGCGAAGGCGGUUCUCUGGGCCUUUCCUGACGCUGAGGAGCGAAAGCGUGGGGAGCGAACAGGCUUAGAUACCCUGGUAGUCCACGCUGUAAACGGUGGGUACUAGGUGUGGGGUCCAUUCCCACGGGUUCCGUGCCGUAGCUAACGCUUUAAGUACCCCGCCUGGGGAGUACGGCCGCAAGGCUAAAACUCAAAGGAAUUGACGGGGCCCCGCACAAGCGGCGGAGCAUGCGGAUUAAUUCGAUGCAACGCGUAGAACCUUACCUGGGUUUGACAUGGAUCGGGAGUGCUCAGAGAUGGGUGUGCCUCUUUUGGGGUCGGUUCACAGGUGGUGCAUGGCUGUCGUCAGCUCGUGUCGUGAGAUGUUGGGUUAAGUCCCGCAACGAGCGCAACCCUUGUUCACUGUUGCCAGCACGUUAUGGUGGGGACUCAGUGGAGACCGCCGGGGUCAACUCGGAGGAAGGUGGGGAUGACGUCAAGUCAUCAUGCCCCUUAUGUCCAGGGCUUCACGCAUGCUACAAUGGCUGGUACAGAGAGUGGCGAGCCUGUGAGGGUGAGCGAAUCUCGGAAAGCCGGUCUCAGUUCGGAUUGGGGUCUGCAACUCGACCUCAUGAAGUCGGAGUCGCUAGUAAUCGCAGAUCAGCAACGCUGCGGUGAAUACGUUCCCGGGGCUUGUACACACCGCCCGUCAAGUCAUGAAAGUUGGUAACACCCGAAGCCGGUGGCCUAACCGAUGUGGGGGAGCCGUCGAAGGUGGGACUGGUGAUUAGGACUAAA